rnacentral:rRNA from 1 species
UACGUAGGCAGCAAGCGUUGUUCGGAGUUACUGGGCGUAAAGAGUGUGUAGGCGGUGCUCUAAGUUUGGUGUGAAAUCUCCCGGCUCAACUGGGAGGGUGCGCCGAAAACUGGAGUGCUUGAGUGUGGGAGAGGAAAGCGGAAUUCCUGGUGUAGCGGUGAAAUGCGUAGAUAUCAGGAGGAACACCUGCGGUGUAGACGGCUUUCUGGACCAUUACUGACGCUGAGACACGAAAGCGUGGGUAGCAAACAGG